CCCACAGGGCUACAAGUUCUGCGCAGCCACACGGUGGCUCGUUUCUGGAGGCUGAGAACAGGCACUCCAGAAAGUUUGCCGAGCGCCUGCAUCAACAUUCCCAAAUCCCCCCACCUCUCCCGAGAGCCCCGCCGGUCACCCAGAUGCACUACGGGGCCGCGCUUGAGAGAAGCUGGUGGCCCUGGGAGGGAAGGCAGCCAAGAGGCCUGGGGCCAGGCCCGAGGGGCAGGUCCCUGCACCCCCGGAUCCGCUAAGAGGGCCGACACGUGGCUUUGUCCCCACCAGGCCACAAGAGGAACGCCCACGCCGGGCACGUCUCAUCUCGGAGCCUCCGUGUAUCAGCCUGAGAGGACGGCCGUGUGAGUUUCCUCGGACUGCUGUAACCAGUUAGUGCAAGGCCAUGACUGAAGCAUCGACAGAAUGAUCUGGAACCCAGCCCAUCACACAGGGAUGAGAGCACACCCUUCUCUGCGUCUAUACCGCUGGAAAACCACGUGAAGCGUGUGCUCAGGGGGUCAGAACCAUCAACGAGACCCCCGGCCCCUUGGAAGCACAGGCCCCUGGUCACCGGUGAGACGAAAUGCUCCCCCCACCCCCAGCCUCCUGCACCGAAGUUCCACAGGCUCGUCUUUCUUAAAAUAAAAACUAUGUGGUUCUCAAGCAA